GCAGAGCUUCUGCGAGUGGUGCCUUUCGAAGCCAGAGCGGCCCGGAAAGCUCCUGGACCCACCCACUGUGUCGGUGAAACCUGAGUGUUUAAUUUUAACUGUACCACGAAUUCAGCAUCGCAAGGGCACUUGCGGGGCCGCUCCACUGUGCAGCAAGAGGCUUUACUUAUCGGUUACUGUGUCGCUUCUUCUACAGCUUGUCGGGCUGCUCUGUACCGGACACUAGGACAUCAGUGCCGAAGAGCUAGGUAUGCAGACUCUGGGACCUGCCUGGAUCUGUCACUGGCUGUAUGACCGUGGAGAGACAGAGAGAAAACAUGAUCGGGGAGGAGCAGAGAGAAAGGGAAAGAGAAAAUCCCAAGCAGAGUCGGCAAUAUCAGCACAGAACCGGAUGUGGGGCUCGAACUGACGAACUGUGAGACCAUGACCUGUGCCGAAACCAAAAGUCGGAUGCUUAAUUGACUGAGCCACGCAGGCGCCCCUGAACCUUGGAUUUUUGAAACCUCAAUGGCUAGCAACAAAAAAAGCAAAUGAAAACACUAUCAGCUGAAACCCGGUUUCUGUUUCUCAAGAGGUGGGAUCAUCGAUACUUCUCUAGAAAAAACAGUUCCUUUGUUGUGAGAAACCAUCUAAAUGAGUUUAUUUAUGCAAGUGUAAAGCAAAAACCCAUUUUAUUUUUUAAUGUUUUUAAAAUAUUAUUUAUCUUG